AUAUCAAUAAGCGGAGGAAAAGAAACCAACAGGGAUUGCCCCAGUAGCGGCGAGCGAAGCGGCAAAAGCUCAGAUUUGAAAUCUGGCUGCCAUGCGGCGGCCCGAGUUGUAAUCUGCAGGGGAGUAUUCUGGUCGACGUGUCCCGCCUAAGUCCCCUGGAAUGGGGCGCCACAGAGGGUGAGAGCCCCGUGAGGCGGAGCGCGCCGGCCUAUGUGAAUCUCCUCCGACGAGUCGAGUAGUUUGGGAAUGCUGCUCUAAGCGGGAGGUAUAUUCCUUCUAAAGCUAAAUACCGGCUGGAGACCGAUAGCGCACAAGUAGAGUGAUCGAAAGAUGAAAAGCACUUUGAAAAGAGAGUUAAACAGUAUGUGAAAUUGUUGAAAGGGAAGCGCUUGCAACCAGACUUGAGCGCGGCGGUUCCCCUAGCCUUUUGGCUAGGCUAUUCCGUCGUGACCAGGCCAACAUCGGUUCUGAGGGUCGGUUAAAGGCCCCGGGAAUGUAUCUACCCACGGGUAGACUUAUAGACCGGGGUGUCAUGCGGCCUCUCGGGACCGAGGAACGCGCUUCGGCUCGGAUGUUGGCGUAAUGGUUGUCAGCGA
rnacentral:rRNA from 1 species